AGUGAACGCUGGCGGCGUGCCUAAUACAUGCAAGUCGAACGAAGUGGCGCACGGGUGAGUAAUAUAUAGUUAAUCUGCCCUACACAGAGUAACAACAGUUGGAAACGACUGCUAAUACCUCAUAGUGUAGGAUGAGACUAGAUCGUAUCAGCAAGUUGUUAAGGUAAUGGCUUACCAAGGCUAUGACGCGUAACUGGUCUGAGAGGAUGGUCAGGCAAAUUGGAACUGAGACAAGGUCCAAAAUCCUACGGGAGGGAGCAGGAAGGAAUAGUGGGAAAUGGGGGAAACCCUGAAGGAGCAACGCCGCGUGGAGGAUGACACUUUUCGGAGCGUAAACUCCUUUUAUCAGGAAAGCGGGACCUGAUGAAUAAGCAACGGCUAACUCCGUGCCAGCAGCCGCGGUAAUAC
rnacentral:rRNA from 1 species